rnacentral:rRNA from 1 species
UACGAAGGGGGCUAGCGUUGUUCGGAAUCACUGGGCGUAAAGCGCACGUAGGCGGCCUCUUAAGUCGGUGGUGAAAUCCUGGAGCUCAACUCCAGAACUGCCUUCGAUACUGGGAGUCUCGAGUUCGGGAGAGGUGAGUGGAACUGCGAGUGUAGAGGUGAAAUUCGUAGAUAUUCGCAAGAACACCAGUGGCGAAGGCGGCUCACUGGCCCGAUACUGACGCUGAGGUGCGAAAGCGUGGGGAGCAAACAGG